rnacentral:rRNA from 1 species
GACGAACGCUGGCGGCGUGCCUAAUACAUGCAAGUAGAACGAGUUGCGAACGGGUGAGUAACGCGUAGGAACAUGCCUCAUAGCGGGGGAUAACUAUUGGAAACGAUAGCUAAUACCGCAUACUGUGAGAUGGACCUGCGUUGUAUUAGCUAGUUGGGGGGGUAAAGGCCUACCAAGGCGACGAUCCGUAACUGGUCUGAGAGGUUGAUCAGUUACACUGGAACUGAGACAGUGUCCAGACUCCUACGGGAGGCAGCAGUGGGGAAUAUUGGACAAUGGGCUAAAGUCUGAUACAGCUAUGCCGCGUGUGUGAAGAAGGUCUUCGGAUGGUAAAGCACUUUAAGUGGGGAGGCGUUACCAACAGAAUAAGCACCGGCUAACUUCGUGCCAGCAGCCGCGUUAAUAC